AAUGCAGAGGUGGGGGACAGAGUGGGUGGGGAGGGGAGCCGCCAUACAGUGGCCAGGACCAGCUUUGCCCAAGUGGUGGCAACCGCAUGACCACAGGAACGAUGGCGUGAGCCCCGUGGCAACCUGGAGGAAGGGCCAAGCCACUGGUGAAUAUGCUGCAAAAAAUAUGCUGGAACUUCUAUGAAUACCACAGGGUGUGAGAAGAAAACAUUAGAACUUCUAUUUUGUACCUGUGUUACUCCACAACAAGAAAGCAAUCAGCUUGAUCAAUGCCUACUGUAAAGACAGCACCGCCCUCCGGAGGUCCUUUCUCAGCCCUGGUGUUCGGACAGCCACAUCCCCUCGCAGCAGGGGGAGGCCUGAAGCAUAGAGGGGCCCAUGCAGGUCUAUUCUGUUUCAGCAAAUUGCCUGGGAAAUAAUCCAGGAUCCAUUUCGUGUGGUCAUCUUGUCUCCCUGGUCCCCUCCAGCCUUUCCUCAUCUUUUGUGACCUGGUCACUCUGGAAGGGCGCUGGCCAGUUAGUCCACAGGAUGGGCCUCCCCUGGGGCUUUUCUGAUGCUUCCUUAUGAUGGCACUGGCAUCCUGAGGGGGAGGACCACAGAGAGGAGGUGCUCCUCAUCACACCACAUGGGGGUCCAUGCACCAGUGCCACUGCUUUCCAGGGCUCUUCACCUUCAUCACUGGUGGAGGUGGCGUCUGCCAAGAAGCAGAAAGUUGAGGCUUAGAAGGUGCAUGGCCCUACCUCUUCUAAGGUGCCCCUGCGGGCUGUCUACAGACCAGGCAGCACAUGCCUGAUAGCAGCUGCAUAAGGAAAAGCAGGAGCCAGCUCGUGCACAGUGGCCUCAAGUGUGCGCUGGGCAUGUUAUCUGCCUCACCAUCCCUGUGUGACAGAUGAAGCUUCAAGGACCACAGAGGGCCAAGUGCAGGAGUAAGAGGCUGGCGUGCUGACAGUGGCCAAGGGCAUUGGAGGGAAGGACCUGUCAUCACUGGGCCAAGGAAGGAACUCCAGACUGCCUACUUCCAGAGGGCCUGCUGAGGAAUUUUAGCUUGAACUUGCCUGCCUUGACUAGGGCUUUCUGAGCAGCAGAUGAUUCUGCAAUGGUGUUAGUCCAGGCCUGGUUCUGCAUGACAUUGACCAUACUGUGCACCCUGGGGUCAUUAUGUCUUGGGCUUCAAGGGGCUCCAUGGGCUCCAGGGGGCUCCAUGUGACACUGCACAGAGCUCUCUCUAGGUCACCUGGAUGUGUCUCUUCCUAGGAACCCCAAAGAGCUCUCUCAACAAACACACCCACGAGUUCCAGGAGUGAGGCUGCAGGGAACAGCCUCACUCUCAGAGGGGAUACAGAAUUGUUCCACUGGACAAGGGCUGGGAUCGUCAUAGGAUGCCGUUGGCCUGUGGUUUCCAACAGAGGUGCAGUUCAUUGAACUGUGGUCUACAGUCCAUUCUCUAACUUGGGGACCCUUGAAGAAGUGUGGAAUCAUGACAACAACCCUGUUGGGAGACACUAUUAUUCCCAUCACAUGGAUGAGCACACGGAGGCAAAAGGAAGUUAUAUGAUUGUCUGAGAUCACCCAGUGAAGACUGUGUGGCUGGGAGUUGUCCCCAGUGUUAUCUGCACGCUGCUUCCUUUUGAUGCCUGGCCCUUCUUUAUCAAAAGAAGCAUUGGCAGAAUCUGGGUGUUUAUGGGUCAGCUCAAAAUAAAUUACUUUAUAUGUCA
rnacentral:sRNA from 1 species